GGGGUCCAGGUUUAAAACAAUUACAGGUGCACCUUACUAUCUUAUACUAUAUCAUAAAUGGUCUUAACUAGUAAACACAGAUUCUAGUUUUCAUCCAGUUCACACAGAUAGCUGACUCAGCCUCAGAGCCUCCAGACUGGGCCCUGUUUACACCUCCACACAGGAAUACACACUCAGAGCCUCCUGACUGGGCCCUGUUUACACCUCCAAGGUGCCCCCCCUCACACAGGAAUACACACUCAGAGCCUACGAGGAUUUUCUAAAAUCUCCACUUUGCGUGUUUCGCUCACCUCAUUCUUUUUUUAAACUAGGUUUGAGUUGUGGCAUCCACUCAGAUCAAAGGUGGGUUCAUCUGCUCCGUUCCCGAAGUCUCCCUGAGAUCCCAAGUUAGAGGGAUUCCUGGUGCACCAUUUACCCAGGUCGUCAGGAGUCAGGUCAUUUACCCAGGUUGUCAGGUCAUUUACCCAGGUCGUCAGGAGUCAGGUCAUUUACCCAGGUUGUCAGGUCAUUUACCCAGGUCGUCAGGAGCCAGGUCAUUUACCCAGGUCAUCAGGAGCCAGGUCAUUUACCCAGGUCAUCAGGAGCCAGGUCAUUU
rnacentral:lncRNA from 1 species